GACGGGGGGGACUAACGUUAUUCAUCUUAACUGGGCGUAAAGGGUACGUAGGCGGUUUUGCAAGUCUUAAUUAAAGAAUCUAAGCGUAACUUAGAAAUUAAUUACUAUACUACAAAGCUAGAGGUUUAAAACAGGUGCGUUAUAUUCUUAGAGUAAAAGUAAAAUUUCUAAAUACUGAGGAGAUAACCUACCGGCGAAGGCGACGUUCCGGUUUAACACUGACGCUGAGGUACGAAAGGAUGGGAAUCAAACGGG
rnacentral:rRNA from 1 species